GACAGAGGGGGCAAGCGUUGCUCGGAAUUACUGGGCGUAAAGGGCGCGUAGGCGGUUUGUUGCGUCGGCUGUGAAAUCCCGAGGCUCAACCUCGGGUCUGCAGUCGAUACGAGCAAACUAGAGUGUUGCAGGGGAGACUGGAAUUCCUGGUGUAGCGGUGAAAUGCGCAGAUAUCAGGAGGAACACCGGUGGCGAAGGCGGGUCUCUGGGCAACAACUGACGCUGAGGAGCGAAAGCGUGGGGAGCGAACGGG
rnacentral:rRNA from 1 species